rnacentral:tRNA from 1 species
GAGGAUAUAGCUCAGUAGCAGAGCAUGUGAUCAGCAUGCAUGAGGUCCUGGGUCCAACCCCCAGUACCUCCA